rnacentral:rRNA from 1 species
UUAMUGCAAGUCGAGCGGACAGAUGGGAGCUUGCUCCCUGAUGUUAGCGGCGGACGGGUGAGUAACACGUGGGUAACCUGCCUGUAAGACUGGGAUAACUCCGGGAAACCGGGGCUAAUACCGGAUGGUUGUYUGAACCGCAUGRUUCAGACAUAAAAGGKGGCUUCGGCUACCACUUACRGAUGGACCCGCGGCGCAUUAGCURGUUGGUGAGGUAACGGCUCACCRAGGSGASGAUGCGUAGCCGACCUGAGAGGGUGAUCGGSCACACUGGGACUGAGACACGGCCCAGACUCSUACGGGAGGCAGCAGURGGGAAUCUUCCGCAAUGGASGARAGUCUGACGGAGCAACGSCGCGUGAGUGAUGAAGGUUUUCGGAUCGUGAAGCUCUGUUGUUAGGGAAGAAYAARUGCCGUUCGMWURGGUUGGCUWGCUUGA